GGUCUUCUUCAGUGUUUUUGCCUCCUUCCCUCAUUUUACAUCUCAUCAUGGCCCUGAGUUGAAAGUGCUUCCCAAAGGUCUACCAGCCUUCACAUGCUCCCUUUCUGCCUAACCACAGUGUUACUAUAUAGAAAGAUAAAAUGAGACAGCACAGAGAAAGGAAUGGGUUUUCUGUCACUACUCAAAGGCAAAAUUAGUCUUCACUAAUGGAUACAGGAAAAAAAUCACUACGUGGGACCUCAGGAGAAACUGAUACAGCUUUGCCUGGAAAAUAAAAAUUAAGAAAGUUUUUUAUCCAGGAUUUUUUCCCCACUGUGAUCUUUUAUAAGAAAGAUAGUCUUUUUAAAAUGGACCAGUGGCUCAAAGAGGUAGAAUGUUCUGGGACAGUGCUUAAGCCCUGAGUUCAAGCUUCAGGACCAACACACAAAAAAACAUCUCAAGAAAGAUAAUAGUCUUUUAAGCAUAACUCUAGUUGUUUUGGUUGUCUCUUCAAAUAGAUGGCUCUUACUUCAAAAAUAGCCUGAAAAUAAAAAGACUCUGGGUUAUAUGCAACGAAGUGGCAGCACAAUGCCUGUAAGACACCCAUAUCCUGCUCUUAAUGCUGUCUGUGACCCAAGAGGCAAGGGGUGGAGUUUAUAACCCAUCAAGGCACAUAUAUACACAGGGUUUGAGGAUGCUGAGACAUAAUCAUGUCUUUUGAAUAAACAUUUGUCAGGAGGAAGAUGUCUUUGUUUUCUUCCACAAAACACA